rnacentral:lncRNA from 1 species
UUGUUACCUCUCUUUGAGUGAAGGCUCACUUGUCUGAAUUAUUUUUUCAUCGAGUUCUUGUCCUUGACAGAUUGACAAGAGUACACCUACAAUAUCAAAGCUUUGUCUAAUCUUGAUUAAGAGUGGAUUACCCCUUUUUCUUGGUAAGAUAUAAGCAUGUUAGAAGUUGCGGAUUACCCUCUUCUAAACUGAUAUUGUCCUUAGUAUUUUCUUUGUCCGCAAGUCCUCUCUUCUAUUUGUCUUGAGCGAUAUUAGACAUCUUCUCUCUCCUAAGUGUUAUCAUGGCAGAACUUCUUGAAAUGAAGAGUGCAAUGGCACAAAUGCAAGAGCAAUUGAG